AUUGAACGCUGGCGGCAUGCCUUACACAUGCAAGUCGAACGGUAACAGGUCUUCGGAUGCUGACGAGUGGCGAACGGGUGAGUAAUGCAUCGGAACGUGCCAUUGAGUGGGGGAUAACGUAGCGAAAGUUACGCUAAUACCGCAUAUUCUCUCCGGAGGAAAGCAGGGGAUCGUAAGACUUUGUGCUCUUUGAGCGGCCGAUGUCGGAUUAGCUAGUUGGUGAGGUAAAGGCUCACCAAGGCUACGAUCCGUAGCGGGUCUGAGAGGAUGAUCCGCCACACUGGGACUGAGACACGGCCCAGACUCCUACGGGAGGCAGCAGUGGGGAAUUUUGGACAAUGGGCGCAAGCCUGAUCCAGCCAUGCCGCGUGAGUGAAGAAGGCCUUCGGGUUGCAAAGCUCUUUCAGCCGGGAAGAAAACGCAUGGGUUAAUACCCUGUGCGGAUGACGGUACCGGAAUAAGAAGCACCGGCUAACUACGUGCCAGCAGCCGCCGUAA
rnacentral:rRNA from 1 species